UACGUAGGGUGCAGGCGUUAAUCGGAAUUACUGGGCGUAAAGCGUGCGCAGGCGGUCUGUUAAGACCGAUGUGAAAUCCCCCGGGCUUAACCUGGGAACUGCAUUGGUGACUGGCAGGCUUUGAGUGUGGCAGAGGGAGGUAGAAUUCCACGUGUAGCAGUGAAAUGCGUAGAGAUGUGGAGGAAUACCGAUGGCGAAGGCAGCCUCCUGGGCCAACACUGACGCUCAUGCACGAAGCGUGGGAGCAAACAGG
rnacentral:rRNA from 1 species